rnacentral:tRNA from 2 species
ACAAGGAUGGCCGAGUGGUUAAGGCGUUGGACUUAAGUUCCAAUGUACGAAUGUACGCGUGGGUUCGAACCCCACUCCUGGUA